rnacentral:tRNA from 1 species
CCCUUCUGUAAUUUAUUAUAAAAUUCCAUAUUUUCAAUAUGGCAAAGAGUU